UAUGCUUAGCCGUAACAUUGACAGUUAACUACAUUUUUCUGUCCGCCUGGGUACUACGAGCAUUAGCUUAAAACCCAAAGGACUUGGCGGUGCUUUAGACCCACCUAGAGGAGCCUGUUCUAGAACCGAUAAUCCCCGUUCAACCUCACCCUUCCUUGCUCGUCCCGCCUAUAUACCACCGUCGCCAGCUUACCCUGUGAAGGGUAAAAAGUAAGCAAAAUUGGCACUGCCCAGAACGUCAGGUCGAGGUGUAGCGAAUGGAGGGGGAAGAAAUGGGCUACAUUCCCUCUAAAAUGCAGGGAAUUACGAAAGAUGUACUGAAACCCGUAUGUCUGAAGGAGGAUUUAGCAGUAAGCGGAAAGUAGAGUGUUCCACUGAAACCGGCUCUUAAGCGCGCACACACCGCCCGUCACUCUCCCCGAAACUUUUCCAAAACAUUAAUUAAAAUGCCAAAAUUCAUAGAGGGGAGGCAAGUCGUAACAUGGUAAGUGUACUGGAAAGGUGCA
rnacentral:rRNA from 1 species